CGCUGAGAAACAUUUCUUAGGGGGAAAAAGAACACAAGCAAAAACCUAACCCUCACUUUAAUUUCAAAUCCAUGUAACUUUUGAUCCGGAGCUCCGAUUGACGAACCGUUUGCGACCUCGCGUUCACCGUGACGAGCUCUAUGAAACCCAUGGAACAAUUUGGUUCAAGUUAGCUUCCGGAACUUGUGGGCUCAAGCUAUUGAGCAUAUGGGUAUGGUGUAGAUUAAGUGGGUAUAUAUGCAUUGGGAAUAUUUAGAGGCUUGUUGGUGAUCAAAGCUUAGUUUGUGGCUAUUUUACUUGAGCUUGAAGAGGCUGUAAUUUUGUGUUGAGAAGCUGCCUUGGGUGAAUUAAGUGAUCGGCCAAGAUGCAGGUCGAGAGGCUCCUCGCUAGGCGUCUGGAUCCUGGAAAGCGAAGUAGUUCCUGG